UUCAGAACAAAGAAUCAAUCAAAAAUCCAUCUGUCUAUAUAAUAAACCAAAAUCUUUUCACUUCAAUUUCACCACCGACUAAUUCGAAGUAACGGCAUUGAUAGCUUCGGCAAAGUAUCUUACAUUGGAAGUGUUGAGACCGGAGAUGCUAAUACGACCAUUCUUAGUGAGGUAAAUGUGAUACUGUUUAGCCAAAACAUCAACUUGCUGGGGAUUUAAACCAGUAUAACAAAACAUACCAAUUUGGUCAGUGAUAUGCUUCCAGCUGUGUUUAUUCUUAAGGUCCUUUUCAAGGAUGUUGCGAAGAGCCUUACGCAUACUCUUAAGACGUUCGGACAUGCCUACAACUUCACCAGCCCACUGUUCACGAAGUGCAGGGUUGCUCAAUAUAUGGUUGGCAAUUCUGGCCCCAUUGACGGGAGGGUUGGAAUACAAAGCACGAAUGAGAAUCUUAGUUUGGCUUUCGAUACGAGCGGCUUCCUCAGCAUCGUUGGCUAAAAUGCUAAAGCAGCCAGCACGUUCACCAUAUAGACCCAUGUUUUUAGCAAAGGAUUGGCAGAGUAACAUGGGGACAUUGCUGGAGGCGAACAGACGAGUGGCAUAAGCAUCACGAGCAAAAUCACCACUGGCAAAUCCUUGGUAAGCCAUGUCUAAAAGAGCAAAAUGGUUUUUCUUUUGCAUUGUUUUGAGGAUAUCAUCCCACUGAGCUUUCGUAGGAUCUACACCAGUUGGAUUGUGAGCACAAGCAUGCAAUAAUAUAAUAGAGCCAUCAGGAGCUGAAGUUAAAUCGGACAACAUGCCUUUAAUGUCCAACCCACGAGUAGCAGGAUCAUAAUACUUGUAGGACUUAACGGUCAAGCCAGCUCGAGAAAAUACAUUCUUGUGAUUUCCCCAAGUAGGGUCAGAUACGUAAAUAGUCUUUGAUGGAUAAAAUGAAGCAAGGAAAUUAGCUGCUAUACACAAGGCACCGGUACCACUAAUGGAUUGAGCAGAAACCAGCCUAUCCUUUAUAGACUCGUAAACAUCGCCAUAAGCCAAUUUUGUUGCUUGCACACGGAAACUGGGAAUUCCUGUGAUGGGUGCAUAUUCUUUGUCGAGUUUCUGACUCAACAGCUCAGUUUCUGCCUGACGAACACUGGGCAGAACAUAAGGCUUUCCGGCAUCAUCACGAUAUGUACCAGCACCCAAGUUCAUUUUCUUAACAUCUCCAUCCUUUUUAUAGGCCUCUGUAAUACCAAAGAUGGGAUCCGGUGGUCCCAUAGGUACAUCUGCCCAAACCUUGAAUCCACGCUUGCUCUGACUUGCCAAGCAUUUUACUCCAUGGUAGGAAACGUUGGUUUUUAACGAUGCAAAUGUAUUUGGAUGCAAACAACGCAAAUUCCUGGCCAACAUCGUCGAAAUCAAUAUUCUUCCCAAAGUUAUUUCUGGGAGAU